UUACUAGAGUAGCACUCGCAUAUCAAUAAGCGGAGGAAAAGAAACUAACAAGGAUUCCCCUAGUAACGGCGAGUGAAGCGGGAAGAGCUCAAAUUUGAAAUCUUAAAGGGUUUCCCUUUACGAAUUGUAGUUUAAAGAAGUGUUUUCUGUUGAGGUUUUGGUAAAAGUUCUUUGGAAUAGGACAUCAUAGAGGGUGAGAAUCCCGUAUUUGACCUUUACUUUCAACUUUGUGAUACACUUUCAAAGAGUCGGAUUGUUUGGGAAUGCAGUCCAAAAUGGGUGGUAAAUUUCAUCUAAAGCUAAAUAUUGGCGAGAGACCGAUAGCGAACAAGUACCGUGAGGGAAAGAUGAAAAGAACUUUGAAAAGAGAGUUAAACAGUACGUGAAAUUGUCAAAAGGGAAGCGUUUGACACCAGUGUUGUUUUUCUGAAAAUCAAUUAAAGAACUGUUUAUGCUAAGUUGUUUAGACUUUAUCAGCUAUCUGUUUAGUUUUGAGCUUUUCUUUAAUGCACUUUUCAGUUAACAAGUCAACAUCAAUUUCUUUUGCUGUAAAAAAGCUUGAGGAAGGUGGCUUGAGAUUCGUCUUAAGUGUUUAUAGCCUCUUGCCUAUGCAGUCGGAGAGAUUGAGGUCUGCAGCGUAGAUCCUUCGGGGCUAAAUGCAUUUGUGCUAAGUUAUAGCAUUUAUAGACAACUUGUUGACUAUGAUUUGUCUUGUAGCUUACUCGCUUAUGUUAUUUUACCUACGCUUAGGAUGUUGAACUACUGAGACAUAGA
rnacentral:rRNA from 1 species